AACGAACGCUGGCGGCAUGCCUAACACAUGCAAGUCGUGCGAGAAAGUUCCUUCGGGAGCGAGUAAAGCGGCGCACGGGUGAGUAACACGUAGGUAACCUGCCCCCCAGUCUGGAACAACUAGAGGAAACUCUAGCUAAUGCCGGAUGAGACCACGAUCCCUUCGGGGGUUGCGGCCAAAGAUGGCCUCUACUUGUAAGCUAUCGCUGAGGGAUGGGCCUGCGGGCCAUUAGCUUGUUGGUGAGGUAACGGCUCACCAAGGCUGUGAUGGCUAGCUGGUCUGAGAGGAUGACCAGCCACACUGGGACUGAGACACGGCCCAGACUCCUACGGGAGGCAGCAGUGGGAAUAUUGCGCAAUGGGCGAAAGCCUGACGCAGCGACGCCGCGUGGGUGAU
rnacentral:rRNA from 1 species